AGAAAGAAGGAGUUCUGCUUCUUCCGAAGGAGUGACUCCCAAAGGAGCAAGAAUUGACCAUAGGUUAUGGCUUGUGUUACAACACACUGAUGUUGUCUUUGAGGCCAUCCACUGAUGUCCUCACCCAUGGCAUAAGCAAGUUUUUCUGAAGACAGAGGGGAAACAUGGGAACCAUCAGAAGGAAAUGAAUUCUGUCGACAACAUGAAUGGACCAGAGAGUGUAUUCUCCCUUAGAACCUCCCGUGAAGAGCUCUGACACCCUGAGUUUGGACUUGUGAGAUCCUAAGCAGAAUCCCAGCCAAGUCUGCUGGACAUCUGACCUAUAAAACUGUGAAAUAAUAAAUGAGUGUUGUUUUAA